AAGAUUAUAACACAGUAAGUUCCAUGUAGGAAGUUCAAAUACCAAUGGAUUUAUCUGCUGCAGAGACAACAACGCUUCUGUUGUCACAGGCUCAAAAUUACUGCGUGUUCUGAAGUUGACUACGUGCUUCAGCCAACAUGUGUUUGUUUGUUCUUUCUCUUAACAGAUAAAUUCAAGAUGCAUGGAUGUUGAUUGCAAGGUCAAGAAUGGCUAUUUUACCAGAUAAUUAGAAUGUCAU